rnacentral:rRNA from 1 species
CCUACGGGAGGCAGCAGUGAGGAAUAUUGGUCAAUGGCCGAGAGGCUGAACCAGCCAAGUCGCGUGAGGGACGACUGCCCUAUGGGUUGUAAACCUCUUUUAUCGGGGAGGAAUGCGAGUCACGUGUGACUCAAUGAGUGUACCUGAUGAAUAAGCAUCGGCUAACUCCGUGCCAGCAGCCGCGGUAAUACGGAGGAUGCGAGCGUUAUCCGGAUUUAUUGGGUUUAAAGGGUGCGCAGGCGGUGGUUUAAGUCAGUGGUUAAAUUGCGGGGCUCAACCCCGUAUUGCCGUUGAAACUGUAUGCCUCGAGUGCGGACGAGGUAGGCGGAAUAAGUGGAGUAGCGGUGAAAUGCAUAGAUAUAACGCAGAACUCCGAUUGCGAAGGCAGCAUACCGGCGCGCGACUGACGCUCAUGCACGAGAGCGUGGGUAUCGAACAGGAUUAGAUACCCGAGUAGUC